GGAUCCUGUGAAUAAAAUGGCGCAGACGUGCUUGUGCGGCUUUCCUGCUGGAGUCCAUGAGCGUCUCGAGGAUUUGGGAUAGGUUGAGCCUUUAUUGGGCUGUCAAGGUGUCUUCCUAGACCUCAUGGUGUCACUGAAUUGGAUCCAUUAUAACCCUCCAUUCAUCUGCUUGGCUCUCGACAGACUCACAAAUGUGCUCAGAGGCCAAGUCACCCUGUGUGCUGCCAGCCCGGGGGCAUGUGUGUUCAUGUCAUGUCACAAUCUGUUCAGAGUACUGUCAUCAGCAACAGAGCAUGGCUCAGCACGCGGGCAAAACUGCACCAACCACGAUGCAUGGACACAGCACCCAUCUAGCCCUGACCUGGUGGUUUGUUUGUGUCCCCUUGCUCUGCCCUACCCAAGGAGGAUGGGGGGUUCAGUGUGUAAAAAAAUAAAGUCUGGACUCAUAGAUAA
rnacentral:lncRNA from 10 species